rnacentral:rRNA from 1 species
GACGUAGGGCGCGAGCGUUGUCCGGAUUUAUUGGGCGUAAAGAGCUCGUAGGCGGCUUGUCGCGUCGAAUGUGAAAUCUCAGGGCUCAACUCUGACAUUGCAUUCGAUACGGGCAGGCUAGAGUUCGGUAGGGGAGACUGGAAUUCCUGGUGUAGCGGUGAAAUGCGCAGAUAUCAGGAGGAACACCGGUGGCGAAGGCGGGUCUCUGGGCCUGUUCUGACGCUGAGGCGCGAAAGCUAGGGGAGCGAACAGG